rnacentral:rRNA from 1 species
CAGUCGCCGCGGUAAUACGGAGGGCGCGAGCGUUACCCGGAUUUACUGGGCGUAAAGGGCGUGUAGGCGGCCUGGGGCGUCCCAUGUGAAAGGCCACGGCUCAACCGUGGAGGAGCGUGGGAUACGCUCAGGCUAGAGGGUGGGAGAGGGUGGUGGAAUUCCCGGAGUAGCGGUGAAAUGCGCAGAUACCGGGAGGAACGCCGAUGGCGAAGGCAGCCACCUGGUCCACUUCUGACGCUGAGGCACGAAAGCGUGGGGAGCAAACAGGAUUAGAUACCCGAGUAGUCCCUGUCUCUUAUAC